GAUGAACGCUGGCGGCGUGCCUAAUACAUGCAAGUCGAGCGAACAGAUGAGAAGCUUGCUUCUCUGAUGUUAGCGGCGGACGGGUGAGUAACACGUGGGUAACCUACCUAUAAGACUGGGAUAACUCCGGGAAACCGGGGCUAAUACCGGAUAAUAUUUUGAACCGCAUGGUUCAAUAGUGAAAGACGGUUUCGGCUGUCACUUAUAGAUGGACCCGCGCCGUAUUAGCUAGUUGGUAAGGUAACGGCUUACCAAGGCGACGAUACGUAGCCGACCUGAGAGGGUGAUCGGCCACACUGGAACUGAGACACGGUCCAGACUCCUACGGGAGGCAGCAGUAGGGAAUCUUCCGCAAUGGGCGAAAGCUUGACGGAGCAACGCCGCGUGAGUGAUGAAGGUCUUCGGAUCGUAAAACUCUGUUGUUAGGGAAGAACAAAUUUGUUAGUAACUGAACAAGUCUUGACGGUACCUAACCAGAAAGCCACGGCUAACUACGUGCCAGCAGCCGCGGUAAUACGUAGGUGGCAAGCGUUAUCCGGAAUUAUUGGGCGUAAAGCGCGCGUAGGCGGUUUCUUAAGUCUGAUGUGAAAGCCCACGGCUCAACCGUGGAGGGUCAUUGGAAACUGGGAAACUUGAGUGCAGAAGAGGAGAGUGGAAUUCCAUGUGUAGCGGUGAAAUGCGCAGAGAUAUGGAGGAACACCAGUGGCGAAGGCGGCUCUCUGGUCUGUAACUGACGCUGAUGUGCGAAAGCGUGGGGAUCAAACAGGAUUAGAUACCCUGGUAGUCCACGCCGUAAACGAUGAGUGCUAAGUGUUAGGGGGUUUCCGCCCCUUAGUGCUGCAGCUAACGCAUUAAGCACUCCGCCUGGGGAGUACGACCGCAAGGUUGA
rnacentral:rRNA from 1 species